rnacentral:lncRNA from 1 species
CCCGGGUGCGGGACGGGCGUGGGAUCGGUGGCCGGUGGCCGGGUGAGGACAGAAGCGUCAAGGACAGCUCCCUGUCUUGGGCCUCCUCCAGCCCAUAGGUGAGUUUGCUUUGUUGAACUGAUUUUGAUUUUGCCAGAUUCAGGCAAACAGCAGGUCUGGGAACCAUCUGGAAGACAGCAGGACGGCGCGUUGCCAGCUGCAGAGAACUGUUGCUCCUGACCGACACCGGCGUUCGUGCACCAGUGUGCGCUGGUGAGGACAGUAAGGCCGCACGUUUGCGGGCACAUCUGGGGCCCUCGCCCGCCCGCACCCCAAAGCCCUGUGCCGAAGACCACGCAGGGGCCAGAGGUGAGGUCCAGGCCCUAGUUUACACGCACGUGACCUCGCCUGGGCGCCCGCAGGAGGGCUGGCCGGCAGCGCGGAGGGCUGGCCCCUCUCUCGGACACCCCGACAGCUCAUUUACAGCAGAGCUGCCAUCUGCAGGUCUCCCAGCGCCUUCUCAGGAGCAGUAAAAGAGACACAGGCGACAUCUGUCUGAAGGACCCAUUUCACUUAAGCCGGUUUAUCAGAAAACGACCCUCUCACCGCGCCAGCGAUCCACAAACUACUAAUCAGGGGCUUUACUCUCUUUCUGUACUCGGUCUUCCAAAGCUGGAAUGUAUUUAACACUUAGAGUGCGUCUCCGUUCAGAGCAGUCACAUUUCGGGGACACCUGGGUGGCUCAGUCGCUUAAGCAUCCGACCCUUGAUCUCAGCUCAGGUCUUGAUCUCGGGGCCAUGAGUUCAAGCCCCGUGCUGGGAUCCAUGCCAAGCGUGGAGUCUACUUAAAAAAAAAAAAAAAAAAAAGAACAGCCACAUUUUAAGUCCUCGG